AGAGAUGUCGGGAGGUUGGAAAGAGAGAGAGAGGGAGAGAAACAUAAAGAAGAGAGAGGGAGAGAGAGAGUGUGGGCAAGAAGAGAGGGAGGGCAGGAAUAAGGGAGAGAGAGAAAAUAACAGUUUUGUGUAAAAGAAACACACAGGGAAAAAGGUAGAGAGGGAGGGAGGGAUGAAAGCUGGAUGGAUGAGUAAAAGCAGAGGAGCACAGAGGAAACAGACAGAAGAGAGAGAGGACAGAAACUAAAAGACAGGCAUGUUGGGUCUCAUGUUCUACAGAGCUGAGUGACAUGUUUAGAUAUUUACUCACUCUAGUUUCUCCAGUUUACAGUGUGGGUUCUUCACUAGAGCACAGAGCGGCUCUACAGCUGAUGCACUAAUAUGAUUGGCCCGAUUGUGAGAUUUGAGGAGGGAGACUUAAGCGCAGAGGCCAGAUAGGAACAGCUCUCAUCGGUCAGAAAACAGACUCGCAGCCUGAAACAGAGUUAAACAUCUGAAUAUUAAUCACCAAUCCUCUACUCUCACACACACACACACACACACUCUCUCCAUGCUGGUCAUGUCCAUUGUUUGCACGGUGUACUGUAUGCUGCAAGUGAUCAGGUACUGCAACCACCACGCCUCCUGGAGGAAGUGAUCAGGUACUGCAACCACCACGCCUCCUGGGGGAAGUGAUCAGGUACUGCGGGCCCAUGGGAGGGAAUGGUCUCUAUCCCUGCGGACAAGAGCUACUCCAGAACCGGCCUGUUGGACUACGUAUCGGAGGACCUGGUGUGACGGUGAGCAGUAAAGAGGUCGCUUUAACGAGGCAGGAGGGGUGACAUGCAACACCGUCUCCGAUGGCAACGUGAUAAGUGACCUUCAAUCAUUUUUAGUAAUGCUCCAUCACUGAGGAACAAGAUGGAAGAGCUUUGCUUGUACACAAGGGUCUGCCAUGAAUAUGGGGAGUCUCAUAUGCCUCAUGAUCUCCACUGAAACCUGCUUCAGGAGGACUUCCCAGAUUCUCUGCUUCAGGUACUCGGGGGAUGGACAGGGAUGGGAACUGGGGAGUGGACCGUCCAUGUAGCCUUUCUUGCUGCCAGUAGGGGGAGACACACACACACACACACACACCAAGGGGGCAGUCUGACUGCACUGUACAAAGUACAGUAAUGUACUGUACAAAGUGUGGUCUUAUUACAGCUUUUUAACUAAACCCAUGAAGAAAGACUAUAGCCUAAGUGUCUGGCGUACGAUUUCGAUAAUGUGUGUGUCUGUGUGUGUGUCAGUCAAACACUCUGUAAUCUUUGCAGCCGUUACAAUGUAUCUCUGUAAACAUUGUUGCAAUGCCUGAUCAUAUCUGCCUCGUUUUAACGGUUAGGUUCUAGCUACGCUACGACAAUGAUGAAGAGAAACUCAUCAUUCUGAAAAUAACCUGGCUGUGAGUUUUGUUUCCUAAUGUUUUCAUGCAUGUCUGCAUAACGGGUGAGGAAUGCUUAUAAGACAGACUAUGCACGCGUGUUUUAGGCAUAUAUAGUACAGGCCCUAUUCUCUUACUGAAAGUGCGCAGAACUUGUGCAUCUACAUAACAAUAUUUAAUACAUUCUCCCGGGGGUGACACCACCGAACCCCCUCUAAGUUUUGGGAUGAACUAAAACAUUUCUGUGUCUGUCUGACCUGCCGCAUGUUCAGGGAGGGAGCAGGAGGGAGCUGACCAUGACCAGGAUGGACUCUUUUCCUUCUUGGACCAAACUCUCCUUUGUCUGUGUGGUAUACCCACUAUGAUUUGUCCUUUAUUUUGGCCAUUCAGACAUGUUGUAGACUUUUGUACACAUAAUCACUAUGUUGUUGCCUUUUCUAUCCAUUAGGUGGCAGUGCAGGAUAGGAAAUAGAGCAGUUUAAGUGCUUUAGUAGAAAGAGAGGAAACUAAACUGUAGGAAAACCAGACAAAGAAAAGCAGCGUGUGAACUAACAUUUGUGAAGUUAUUGGAAAUAAAUGUAACCACCUUCAACAUA